rnacentral:sRNA from 1 species
AAUGUGAGGGAUUACAGUUUUGUAGCUCUAACAAUGUAAUUUUGAGUUGUGCCUUUACAUUUCUUUCUUUCAUUUCCUAUAGCUGAUAAAAAUUAUUCUGUAAAUCUUGAAAACCUAAAAAAUUUACACAAGGAAAGACAUCACUUGUCUACUGUAACAUCCAAAGGCUUUGCCCAGUAUGAGCUCUUUAAGUCCUCUGCCUUGGAUGAUACAAUCACAGCAUCACAAACUGCGAUCACUUUGGAUAUUUCCUGGAGUCCUGUGGAUGAGAUUCUUCAAAUCCCUCCACUCUCUUCAACUGCAACUCUGAAUAUUAAAGUGGAAUCGGGAGAGCCCAGAGGUCCUUUGAAUCAUCUCUAUAGAGAACUGAAAUUUCUUCUUGUUUUGGCUGAUGGUUUGAGGACUGGUGUCACUGAAUGGCUCGAGCCCCUGGAAGCAAAAUCUGCUGUUGAACUUGUGCAGGAAUUUCUGAAUGACUUAAAUAAGCUGGAUGGAUUUGGUGAUUCUACAAAAAAAGACACUGAAGUUGAGACAGUGAAGCAUGACACUGCUGCAGUCGAUCGUUCCGUCAAGCGUCUUUUCAAAGUUCGGAGUGAUCUUGAUUUUGCUGAGC